AGAAUCAACGCUGGCGGCGUGCCUCAGACAUGCAAGUCGAACGCGAAAGCCCCCUUCGGGGGCAAGUAGAGUGGCGCACGGGUGAGUAACACGUAGGUAAUCUACCUUUGGAUGGGGAAUAACAACCGGAAACGGUUGCUAAUACCGCAUAAUGCAGCGGCACCUAAUGGUGACAGUUGUUAAAGCGGGGGAUCGAAAGACCUCGCGUCUGAAGAGGAGCCUGCGGCGGAUUAGCUAGUUGGUAAGGUAACGGCUUACCAAGGCAACGAUCC
rnacentral:rRNA from 1 species